GACGAACGCUGGCGGCGUGCCUAAUGCAUGCAAGUCGAGCGGACAGAUAAGGAGCUUGCUCCUUUGAAGUCAGCGGCGGGCGGGUGAGUAACACGUGGGCAACCUGCCUAUAAGACUGGGAUAACUUCGGGAAACCGGAGCUAAUACCGGAUAGAUUCUUUCCUCUCAUGAGGAAAGAAGGAAAGACGGUUUCGGCUGUCACUUAUAGAUGGGCCCGCGGCGCAUUAGCUAGUUGGUAAGGUAAUGGCUUACCAAGGCGACGAUGCGUAGCGACCUGGAAGGGUGAUCGGCCACACUGGGACUGAGACACGGCCCAGACUCCUACGGGAGGCAGCAGUAGGGAAUCUUCCGCAAUGGACGAAAGUCUGACGGAGCAACGCCGCGUGAACGAAGAAGGCCUUCGGGUCGUAAAGUUCUGUUGUUAGGGAAGAACAAGUACGAUAGUAACUGAUCGUACCUUGACGGUACCUAACCAGAAAGCCACGGCUAACUACGUGCCAGCAGCCGCCGUAAAAC
rnacentral:rRNA from 1 species